rnacentral:rRNA from 1 species
ACUCCUGCGGGAGGCAGCAGUGGGGAAUUUUGGACAAUGGGCGAAAGCCUGAUCCAGCAAUGCCGCGUGAGUGAAGAAGGCCUUCGGGUUGUAAAGCUCUUUUGUCAGGGAAGAAACGGUGAGAGCUAAUAUCUUUUGCUAAUGACGGUACCUGAAGAAUAAGCACCGGCUAACUACGUGCCAGCAGCCGCGGUAAUACGUAGGGUGCAAGCGUUAAUCGGAAUUACUGGGCGUAAAGCGUGCGCAGGCGGUUUUGUAAGUCUGAUGUGAAAUCCCCGGGCUCAACCUGGGAAUUGCAUUGGAGACUGCAAGGCUAGAAUCUGGCAGAGGGGGGUAGAAUUCCACGUGUAGCAGUGAAAUGCGUAGAUAUGUGGAGGAACACCGAUGGCGAAGGCAGCCCCCUGGGUCAAGAUUGACGCUCAUGCACGAAAGCGUGGGGAGCAAACAGGAUUAGAAACCCGAGUAGUCGCAUG